rnacentral:rRNA from 1 species
GACGAACGCUGGCGGCGUGCUUAACACAUGCAAGUCGAACGGAAAGGCCUGCUUUCCCUUGUGGAUUGCGGGUACUCGAGUGGCGAACGGGUGAGUAACACGUGAGUGAUCUGCCCCCAACUUUGGUAUAAGCCUGGGAAACUGGGUCUAAUUCCCGAUAGGACUGCAGGGUGGUGCCUGUGGUGGAAAACGAUUUUCUAGUGGUUGGGGGUGAGCUCGCGGCCUAUCAGCUUGUUGGUGGGGUAAUGGCCUACCAAGGCGGCGACGGGUAGCCGGCCUGGGAGGGUGGACGGCCACAUUGGGACUGAGAUACGGCCCAGACUCCUACGGGAGGCAGCAGUGGGGAAUAUUACACAAUGGGCGGAAGCCUGAUGCAGCGACGCCGCGUGGGGGAUGACGGCCUUCGGGUUGUAAACUCCUUUCGACCGCGAGGAAGCCACCUGGUUGGAAGGGUGGUGACGGUAGUGGUAGAAGAAGCACCGGCUAACUACGUG